CGGGGGUGCGGCUGGCUUUUGAUUGACGUAGAUUGCAGCCAAUUGAACCCGGAGUUAGGAUCGUUGUGUCCAAUAGGAGGCAGGGGCAUGUGGGGCGGACCUAGGCAGGUUAGGUUGAGCCAACCGGCCUGAGAACGGGAGGAACAGCGGCCGGCCAGUUGGGGAGGGAAGGCUAGAGAUAGAGAGCAGGGCAGGCAAGCAAGCAGCGCCACCAGGACCACAGCAACAUCGUGGGAGAGUAAAUUUGGAGGUGAACGAGCCCACUUACCCAGCUUCUCGUCAGCGGGCGGCGGGAGAAUUCCUACAGUGUGGAAACAGGCCAUUUGGCCUUU